rnacentral:rRNA from 1 species
UACGUAGGGGGCUAGCGUUGUCCGGAUUUAUUGGGCGUAAAGAGCGUGUAGGCGGCCAGGUAGGUCUGCUGUGAAAACUCGAGGCUCAACCUCGAGACGUCGGCGGAAACCCUCCAGCUAGAGUCCGGAAGAGGAGAGUGGAAUUCCUGGUGUAGCGGUGAAAUGCGCAGAUAUCAGGAAGAACACCCGUGGCUAAGGCGGCUCUCUAGUACGGUACUGACGCUGAGACGCGAAAGCGUGGGGAGCGAACAGG